CGAAGUUCUUCCUUAGAUUCUGCAAAGAUUAUAUCUGGAGCUUAAGAAGGACCUUUCUGAGGGGACUACAAAUAAAAAUAUUAAACGGAGAUCUCCCACAUCCUGGUUGGACAGAGGUUGCUUUUAUUCAGGAGUGGUUUGCUGAGAGAGAAAGGAAGACUUUAGAAGACUUGGACAAAGCCAGUAAAAUUACGAAGUCUUUGUUUCCACCUCAGCAUUCUUACUGAACAAAAAAAACUGAGAUUUUUCUGACAGGAACAGUAAGCAUAAAAUAAAAGAUUGAUUUUAUUGAAGGUCCGCUGAGAU
rnacentral:lncRNA from 1 species